rnacentral:rRNA from 1 species
ACGCUGGCGGCACGCCUUAUACAUGCAAGUCGAACGAAGUAGCAAUACUUAGUGGCAGACGGGUGAGUAACAUGUAGGUAUCUUCCCUUUGGUGAGGAAUAACACGAGGAAACUUGUGCUAAUACCUCAUAAGUCUUUACGGAGAAAGCUUUAUGCGCCGAAGGAUGAGCCUGCACUUGAUUAGUUUGUUGGUGGGGUAAUGGCCUACCAAGACUUUGAUCUAUAGCUGAUCUGAGAGGAUGAUCAGCCACAUUGGGACUGAGACACGGCCCAAACUCCUACGGGAGGCAGCAGUAGGGAAUAUUGCACAAUGGAGGAAACUCUGAUGCAGCGAUGCCGCGUGAGUGAAGAAGGCCUUUGGGUUGUAAAGCUCUUUCGUCGGGGAAGAAAAUGACUGUACCCGAAUAAGAAGGUCCGGCUAACUUCGUGCCAGCAGCCGCGGUAAUACGAAGGGACCUAGCGUAGUUCGGAAUUACUGGGCUUAAAGAGUUCGUAGGUGGUUAAAAAAGUUGGUGGUGAAAUCCCAGAGCUUAACUCUGGAACUGCCAUCAAAACUUUUUAGCUAGAGUAUGAUAGAGGAAAGCAGAAUUUCUAGUGUAGAGGUGAAAUUCGUAGAUAUUAGAAAGAAUACCAAUUGCGAAGGCAGCUUUCUGGAUCAUUACUGACGCUGAGGAACGAAAGCAUGGGUAGCGAAGAGGAUUAGAUACCCUCGUAGUCCAUGCCGUAAACGAUGUGUGUUAGACGUUGGAAAUUUAUUUUCAGUGUCGCAGCGAAAGCAUUAAACACACCGCCUGGGGAGUAC